rnacentral:rRNA from 1 species
UACGUAGGGGGCAAGCGUUGUCCGGAUUUAUUGGGCGUAAAGAGCGUGUAGGCGGCCAAGCAGGUCUGCUGUGAAAACUCGAGGCUCAACCUCGAGACGUCGGUGGAAACCGUCUGGCUAGAGUCCGGAAGAGGAGAGUGGAAUUCCCGGUGUAGCGGUGAAAUGCGCAGAUAUCGGGAGGAACACCUGUGGCGAAAGCGGCGCACUGGACCACAACUGACGCUGAGGCGCGAAAGCUAGGGGAGCAAACAGG